AGUUAUAUAUCUUGUUGAUUAUAUUUUUUUAUAAAAAAAAAGAAAAAUAAUUUUAGUAAAAAAAAGGAGUAAUUUUUAAUGAAAUAAUAUGAUAGCUAUAAAUUAUAAGUACUGUAAAGGAAAGAUUGUGUAUAAGAAGAGUAAAAGAAGAAAUUGAAGUUUGUAUCUUGUGUAUCAGAGGAAAUUUAUAUAAUUAAAAUAAUAUUAAAAUCUCGAAAUAAGAAUAGUUAAUUUUGUAAAAGAGUUUUUAUAGGCUAAAAAUUUUGAAUAUAAAAUUAAAGAUGAUAUGUUAGACGAGUUUUAUUAUAUCUAGUUUUUUAAAAAAGAAAUUUAAUUUAGUUUAUAUAUUAAUAAUAAUAUAUAAGAAUAAAGUAGGAAGGAUGAGCUUUUUAUUACUAAUAAGUGAAAUAGUAUAGUAAAGUUAGAAUUAUGUGAGCUAAGCUUAAAAGUAGUUAUGUUUAUAGGGUGUUUUAACUAAAUUCUAAGUUGUUGAUUAUUAUGCUUUUCUUUAAUAUUAAAAAUUUAUUUUGAAUGGUAAAUAAUAAGAUAAAAUGAUUUUAUUAGUAGAAUGAUGAGUUGUUGAUUGUAUAAAAAUAAUAGAAUAUUUGAUAAAUUGUUAUUAUGUGAAAGUNCGUUAUAGGAAUUCAGUAAAUAUUUUUCUUGCCUGUUUAUCAAAAACAUGGCUAUUUGAAGUUAUAAAAAGUCUAACCUGCCCNCUGAUUUAGAUAGUUAAAGGGCCGCGGUAUUAUGACCGUGCAAAGGUAGCAUAAUCAUUAGGUUUUUAAAUGGGAUCUUGUAUGAAUGGUUGGACAAAGGAAAAGCUGUCUUUAUAUUAAAAUUUAAAUUUUACUUUUAAGUGAAAAGGCUUAAAUAUAUUAAUGGGACGAUAAGACCCUAUAAAACUUUACAUUUAAAUUAUAUUUGAUUGAAUUUAAUGGAAUAAAGAAUUUUAUGUAGUUAUUUGUUAUGUUGGGGUGACAGAAGCAAAAUUUUUAUUAACUGCUUAAUAAACAAACAUUUAUAGAUGAAUUUUAGUUUGCAGAUCCUAAUUAAAGAUUAAAAGAUUAAGUUACUUUAGGGAUAACAGUGUAAUUUUUUUUGAGAGUCCAUAUCGAAAAAAAAGUUUGCAACCUCGAUGUUGAAUUAAGUUAUCUAUAUAAUGUAGCUGUUAUAUUAGAGGGUCUGUUCGACCUUUAAUUUUUU
rnacentral:rRNA from 1 species